rnacentral:lncRNA from 1 species
UGGAUCCACUUCCUAUCAAUAUAGGAAGAUAGGACCUGCUAUCUUCGAUCUACUUCACGCCAAUACAUGAAGAUAAGAUCUGCUUUCUGUGAUCUACUUCGCCACCAAUAUGGGAAGACAAGAUCUGCAUCUUCGAUCCACUUCCUACCAAUAUAGGAAGAUAGGAUCUGCUACCUUCGAUCUACUUCACGCCAAUACAUGAAGACAAGAUUUGCUU